rnacentral:tRNA from 1 species
GGAUGGGAUGCUACAUUGUUAAUGGUCGGGAUAG